rnacentral:rRNA from 1 species
GAUGAACGCUGGCGGCGUGCCUAAUACAUGCAAGUCGAGCGAAUGGAUUAAGAGCUUGCUCUUAUGAAGUUAGCGGCGGACGGGUGAGUAACACGUGGGUAACCUGCCCAUAAGACUGGAUAACUCCGGGAAACCGGGGCUACUACCGGAUAACAUUUUGAACCGCAUGGUUCGAAAUUGAAAGGCGGCUUCGGCUGUCACUUAUGGAUGGACCCGCGUCGCAUUAGCUAGUUGGGGAGGUAACGGCUCACCAAGGCAACGAUGCGUAGCCGACCUGAGAGGGUGAUCGGCCACACUGGGACUGAGACACGGCCCAGACUCCUACGGGAGGCAGCAGUAGGGAAUCUUCCGCAAUGGACGAAAGUCUGACGGAGCAACGCCGCGUGAGUGAUGAAGGCUUUCGGGUCGUAAAACUCUGUUGUUAGGGAAGAACAAGUGCUAGUUGAAUAAGCUGACACCUUGACGGUACCUAACCAGAAAGCCACGGCUAACUACGUGCCAGCCGCCGCAGUAA